rnacentral:lncRNA from 1 species
AACGGUCCAGCAACCCAAAGUUGACUGGGAGACGACGGCCUAGACCACUCACGAACUCAUCACAGCAUCCUCCAAGCGCCUCAUCCUGUGGUACAUGUUCUUGACCUGUGGGGGGGUGUGAGACAGCAAGAGUGAGCUCACAUACGUUCAUAGCUCAACAUGUUGUGGGGAAUAAUGUGCAUGAACUCGCCAAAGGUGGGAGCGCACGUGAAGUGUAAGGCUUACCAAAGAGGAUGGUUAGAGCUGAGCAUUGCUUUUAAAGUUGGUCAAAAUUUUAUUAGCAAUUACUAAGUAUAAGUAAAUACCAACCCAAUUAAGUAGUAGAACAAAAGUAUCAACAUCACCUGCGAUGUAAUGCAUUUGACAAAUUGAAUUUAAGUUCCAUAAAUUAAUCAUGUGAGGGUCCGAGCUGCUCAUGACCGUGAGCACGGCUAGUAUACCAGUUUUACACUUUGCAGAGGUUGCGCAUCUUUACCGACAAGUCAUGUUACCCAUCUACCAAGGGAUCGCGACUUCCCAUACACCUCUACCGAGGAGGCGAGGCAGGGUAACACUACAAGGCCUUUACAAAGUUCCACUAGCUUCAAAAAACCCGCUACAAUUUAUAGGAAGCUCCAAUGCAGGGAUCCCUUGCUUGACCGCCAUCGCAGCAAAAUCAACCAAGGACCUCCCUACACUGACCACUCCCCUACUGCCCUUGCCCCUUUCGGGUAAGGUAGUCCUCCACUAGCUUUCAUAAUUAAUCAGCCAAGGGCGUCCAUAAACCCUUGUGGUAGCACUGUUUUCCCGGGUGGUCGCUCCAUGUUCAAAUUAACAUAAUGAUCUUAUCAUGAACAGUAAAUAACAAAGGAUAACAAAAGUAUAAUCAUGAAUAAUGUGUAUCUCAAUGCCCAAAUCCACAUAAAGCACUAGCAAGUACUACCCAGAAGUUUAGUGGUAAACAAGGCAUAAAGAUAGUCAAACUAGGGUGACCUAUUGGGUCCCAUCAAAAUUAACCUAUGCAGAUCAUUAUGAUUAAUUAGAACAUGAGUGGGUAAAAAGAAGUGAUCAAGGGCACAACUUGCCUGGCACUUGAGAUUCCAGGUACCACUUGCUCUUCAAGUGAAUCGAACCUCGCUGCUAGUCGUAGCAAUACAAACAAACAUGGUAUAGACAAAAUUAACAUCACACCAAACAUAAGAAUAAACAUCAUAAUAUUGAUCUACGCGUUGCUACGAGAUUGUGGGAACGAGAACCACUAAGAUCGGAGUCAUGGUUAAGGAGUUACGAUCUAUAAAAGCUCUACGUGAUUUAAAUAUUAAACUUAUAUUAUAGAUUGGUUAGUAUAGAUCAUAUGAGAAAUUAUUCUAUAAAUAAUUAUCUCAACUUUAAUCUAAUUCAUUAUUUGAUUAAAGAUUAUCUAGUUAAAUUAUAACCAUAAAAUUAGAAUACUAUAUAUCAAUAUUAAAUGAGUUAAUCCAAUAGACUUAGAUUAACACGAUUAUAAAAGUAUGGGAUAUCAUAUAAUAAAUGUUACUAUUGUGUAGUAGAUAUUUAUACGAAGCUAUCGCAACUGGAACGAGUCAAAUCGGAUUUAAAACGGAGGAGAUACGAAUUUCCUAAGGUUUUGUGUAUUUGAUACGAGAUUAAUUAAUAGAUAAAUUUUAAUACCAUUUUCAUGUUAAAACAGAGACAAUAGGUGAUAAACAACAUUAUUAUAAAAUUAUAGAAAUUAGAAUGAAUUAAUUUGGACUUAAAAUGAAUUUUCUAGGAAUUAAACAAGGUUCGGGAAUUAUUUUCACACUGAAAAUCGUUUUCUAAAUUGAUUAUUCUGAUUUUCUAAUCCUCUGUACUACGCGCACAAAUAGCAGAGAGUUUAGGGGUCAUUUCCUAAGAAACCAGGGCCCCCACGGUAGAUACUUUACACUCCGAAUGGGUGGCGAGUUGAUUCAGAAAAAAAGACAGGGUCUCUUUAGAAAGAUUCCCAGGUCGAAGGGGUAUGGAUGGAUUCUGGCCAUUGGAUCAGCACCCGAUGGUUUAGAUUAGAUCUAGUGCAUUAUGAAUCCGCGGACAGCGCAGGACCGCCCAAUCACAAACCUACGGCCUAGAUCUAAAGCAACCCCGAGUCGAUCACGAUCGUCCAAUGAUGGAUCAAGGAUCCAGAUUUAAUAUAUCGAAGUGGUAUCCGAUGGCAUGAUCUUGCGCGUCCGCUACCAAAUCGACGGAGGCAGCACACCCACACCUAGAUCUAAUCCUAGUCAUUCGCAGAGAGAUCAACGGUGGGGGUGUAUCUUCUUCCCCAGACUCCACGGCUGACGGCGCAUCGCCCUGCCCGACGGGACAUCACCGGCGAGGCCCCCCUCCAGCCAUACCAACAGCCAAACCCCACAUAAAACGGUGCUACACGAUGAGGACAACGAGGCGAACCAUAUAGGGUAGCGACUUACCAGAAUUCGUAGCAAGAGCUCCCUGGUCGCGAUGGAAUGCGGACCGCGGCGCGGAGGCCCACCACGGGAUGGUGCAGGCUCCCCACCAUGACUUCCGUCGUUCUGCUUGCUGGCGCUUUCCCCCUUUUUUUCCCUACCGCAUCACAAUCUCCGAACGACAUGCAGACGUGGAACGCUAGGCGACAACAUGGAGCUCUCUCUGCGGUGAGGUGCUUGCUCGGAUAGGGUGUCUUCAGAACAAGCAGCAGGACUCGCCAAGACGGGCAGAUGAGGGGAGGCACAGGGGCUCGUAUAUAUGCUCAACGCCGAGAGCCCUAACAGAAACCACUAGGAGGUAA